UACGGGGGGGGUAAGCGUUGUUCGGAAUUACUGGGCGUAAAGGGCUCGUAGGCGGCCAACUAAGUCAUACGUGAAAUCCCUCAGCUUAACUGGGGAACUGCGUGUGAUACUGGAUGGCUUGGAUUUGGGAGAGGGAUGCGGAAUUCCAGGUGUAGCGGUGAAAUGCGUAGAUAUCUGGAGGAACAUCAGUGGCGAAGGCGGCCUUCUGGUCCAGUACUGACACUCAAGUGCGAAAGCGUGGGGAGCAAACAGG
rnacentral:rRNA from 1 species